GCCACGCGUACUGGUUACGCCAUUUUAGAGUUGACGAAGACUCGAAUUGGUUUGCUUUUCUUAUGUGAAAAACAGUGGGGAAAGUUCUAGGAAGAGAGGUCCGAAGCUUAAUAUAAACGAACUUCAGUGGUGGUAAAGUGAACGAGCUUUUCUUGUUCAGGUGCUACGAGAGAGGAAACCCUCAGAAGAAAAUACUUGUGAGAAUGGACAUGGUUUGAGGCAAGGUCUCUAGGAUGGAGAGUCCGAAGCCCGAGGAGAAAGGGUCUGGAGUGUAGGUGGCCCAGUAAUUUUUUUUUGAGUUAAACCUUCUGUAUAUAGACUAAUAGGGCCAACCUGAUAUGUUUAUAAAGUGCAGUUUGUGAAAUAAAAGCAUUGGCAUGUUUUUAGACUA